rnacentral:sRNA from 1 species
AACCACUUAAAGUCAGGAGGUCCGUGA